GCCAGUGAGGUUCUGCAUUACCUCUGGUGUCACAGACACUUUUCCAAGUCCAAACAACCGAAGUGUAAUGACAAAUAUGUGUCUGCUGAAGUAAAAAGAGAUGAGAGACUAAAACUCUGGGCUGAAAUAAAGCAACUGCCUUAGGCAAUCUUAUACACUACCUGGGACUGAAGGUGCAUUAACCCUCCUGUUUAAUUCUGGGGGAGCAGAACAUACAUUGAUUCAAUUAUGUGUCAGAUCCUGUUUCUUGGAACACCUCCACAGCUUACAUUAAGGGGAGCAGAAAUUGCUGGGCUAUGCACAAGCUGCUGCUGGUUUGGAGACCUCUGCUUUGAUACUGCAUUUCUGGCAGCCCUGAACUCCAUUCUCUGCAGGGACCCUGCAGCAUCCUCUGCCUCACUGCAGUGGUCUGGCUUUCUCUAAAUAAGUGAUGGAGCCUAAAACAAAUUCAGAAAUUUUAAUAAAAGCUGCAGUAUCAAAAAUCCACAUAAAAAAAAGGACAAAAGGAUCAGGGAUAAAACAUACCUGCUUAAAAAAGCAUAGAAGAGCCUGAAGAAGUUUGGUAAUUACCUAUGUUCUAGCUGUGUUCUCCAAACUGCUAGCAAACUUCAAGAACUGGUCAGAAACUUUUUAUUUAACUUUGUCCACCAGUCAAAGAGCUUGCCCAGGUAAUGUUCUCUGUUGUUUAACAUCUCAGCUCACUCUCUGGUUGUGUUGUUCACUUACUUGAUCUAUUUUGGAGAUCCCAGCUUGCUUUCUGUGCCUUUUUCUGGAAUCUCAUACUUGAAUCACUAUUGCAUUACAUUUAAACUGAUUUUACUAAUAUUUUAAAAACUAAUAAUAAUGAAAGAGUGCCUUGCCAGAAAGAAGGGUGUGAGUUUUGCCAUGCAACAUGCCAUGUGAGUGGCCCAUAGCUAAGCUGCAUUUUGCUUUGGUUUCUUUACUGCUUCUUUCAUGUCUCCCCAAAUUACCUUUU